rnacentral:rRNA from 1 species
UACGUAGGGGCCUAGCGUUGUCCGGAAUUAUUGGGCGUAAAGAGCUCGUAGGCGGUUCGGCAAGUUGGAUGUGAAAUCUCCACGCUUAACGUGGAGGGGCCAUUCGAAACUGCUGUGACUCGAGUCCGGUAGGGGAGUGUGGAAUUCCCGGUGUAGCGGUGAAAUGCGCAGAUAUCGGGAGGAACACCAGUAGCGAAGGCGGCACUCUGGGCCGGUACUGACGCUGAGGAGCGAAAGCGUGGGGAGCGAACAGG